AGAGUUUGAUCAUGGCUCAGAACGAACGCUGGCGGCAGGCUUAACACAUGCAAGUCGAACGCAUCCUUCGGGGUGAGUGGCAGACGGGUGAGUAACGCGUGGGAACGUGCCCUUCAGUUCGGAAUAACCCAGGGAAACUUGGGCUAAUACCGGAUACGCCCGAAAGGGGAAAGAUUGAUCGCUGAAGGAUCGGCCCGCGUCUGAUUAGCUAGUUGGUAGGGUAAUGGCCUACCAAGGCGACGAUCAGUAGCUGGUCUGAGAGGAUGAUCAGCCACACUGGGACUGAGACACGGCCCAGACUCCUACGGGAGGCAGCAGUGGGGAAUAUUGGACAAUGGGCGCAAGCCUGAUCCAGCCAUGCCGCGUGAGUGAUGAAGGCCUUAGGGUUGUAAAGCUCUUUCAGCGGGGACGAUAAUGACGGUACCCGCAGAAGAAGCCCCGGCUAACUUCGUGCCAGCAGCCGCGGUAAUACGAAGGGGGCUAGCGUUGUUCGGAAUCACUGGGCGUAAAGGGCGCGUAGGCGGCUUUGUAAGUCGGGGGUGAAAGCCUGUGGCUCAACCACAGAAUUGCCUUCGAUACUGCAUGGCUUGAGACCGGAAGAGGUAAGUGGAACUGCGAGUGUAGAGGUGAAAUUCGUAGAUAUUCGCAAGAACACCAGUGGCGAAGGCGGCUUACUGGUCCGGUUCUGACGCUGAGGCGCGAAAGCGUGGGGAGCAAACAGGAUUAGAUACCCUAGUAGUCC
rnacentral:rRNA from 1 species